AUUGAACGCUGGCGGCAGGCCUAACACAUGCAAGUCGAACGGUAACAGGAAGAAGCUUGCUUCUUUGCUGACGAGUGGCGGACGGGUGAGUAAUGUCUGGGAAACUGCCUGAUGGAGGGGGAUAACUACUGGAAACGGUAGCUAAUACCGCAUAACGUCGCAAGCCCAAAGAGGGGGACCUUCGGGCCUCUUGCCAUCGGAUGUGCCCAGAUGGGAUUAGCUAGUAGGUGGGGUAACGGCUCACCUAGGCGACGAUCCCUAGCUGGUCUGAGAGGAUGACCAGCCACACUGGAACUGAGACACGGUCCAGACGCCUACGGGAGGCAGCAGUGGGGAAUAUUGCACAAUGGGCGCAAGCCUGAUGCAGCCAUGCCGCGUGUAUGAAGAAGGCCUUCGGGUUGUAAAGUACUUUCAGCGGGGAGGAAGGGAGUAAAGUUAAUACCUUGGCUCAUUGACGUUACCCGCAGAAGAAGCACCGGCUAACUCCGUG
rnacentral:rRNA from 1 species